rnacentral:lncRNA from 1 species
AAGGGUGGGUGUGCAACAAAUGUGAUGUGUGGCUCCAGAGUCAAUGAUCCAGCAUCUAGAGGUAAAUGUGUGUGUGAAGUUGGAAAGGGAAAAGGGUGUGUAGGAUAUACCUGCCGCGUGAGGAUCAGGAGUGGCGUGACUUGUGGAGAGAGAUAGGUUGUCCGGAGAGAUGACGGAGUUCGGUUGGUGAAGACGUGCACUUAGGU